CGAAAGCCUGACGGAGCAACGCCGCGUGUGGGAAGAAGGCUCUUGGGCUGUCAACCACUUUUCUCAGGGAAGAAGGACUGACGGUACCUGAGGAAUCAGCCUCGGCUAACUCCGUGCCAGCAGCCGCGGUAAUACGGAGGAGGCAAGCGUUAUCCGGAAUUAUUGGGCGUAAAGCGUCCGCAGGGGGCUCAUCAAGUCUGCUGUCAAAGGUCGGAGCUCAACUCCGGUUCGGCAGUGGAAACUGGUGAGCUAGAGGGCGGCAGGGGCAGAAGGAAUUCCCGGUGUAGCGGUGAAAUGCGUAGAGAUUGGGAAGAACACCGGUGGCGAAAGCGCUCUACUGGGUCGCACCUGACCCUCAGGGACGAAAGCUAAGGUAGCG
rnacentral:rRNA from 1 species